UUGCAUAAACUGAAGCCCAUUACUUUAAACCAAAUGUUGAGCUGAGUCGAGUCGAAGGUUUUUUGGAUAAAAGGGAACCUGCCGUUUGAAAGUCGUGGCAGAAGUGCAGCCAUUGCAGCCGAGUCAACUUCAAUUAGCCGGAAACGGAAACGGACCAUGUGAUCUGCAAUCUACAAUAAAUGCAAUUGUAUAUUAAACACACUCACAUCCGUUGGGACAAAAUGUCUGGAAAUUAACUCAAUAUUAAGAGAGAGAGAGAGACGAGGGACAGAUCUAGAUCUGGAUUAGAUAUAUAUCGCAUGUGCAGGGCAACGGAAACGGAAGCGUCAGCGGCAACGGCAACGGAAACGGAAACAGUAACGGAAGCGAAAACGGAAGUGGCUAACGUAACGUCACCCAGUGAGCAAUAAUGACCAAGAAGUACGAGUUCGAUUGGAUUAUUCCGGUCCCGCCGGAAUUGACCACGGGCUGUGUGUUCGAUCGCUGGUUCGAGAACGAAAAGGAAACGAAGGAGAACGACUUUGAGCGCGAUGCCCUCUUCAAGGUCGACGAGUACGGGUUUUUCCUCUACUGGAAAAGCGAGGGCAGGGAUGGCGAUGUCAUCGAGCUGUGUCAAGUGAGCGACAUUCGGGCGGGAGGAACCCCAAGGGAUCCAAAGAUACUCGAUAAGGUGACGAAGAAGAACGGAACCAACAUACCGGAACUGGAUAAGCGGUCCCUGACGAUCUGCUCGAACACGGACUAUAUCAAUAUAACAUAUCACCAUGUUAUUUGUCCAGAUGCGGCAACAGCCAAGAUCUGGCUAGAUGGCAUACGAAAAAUCACCCAUAAUGUCAAAGCGAACAAUAUCUGCCCCAUGAUGUGUCUGCGGAAACAUUGGAUGCGAUUGAGUUACUGCGUGGAGAAGAGCGGCAAAAUUCCGGUGAAAACGCUGGCCAAGACCUUCGCCUCCGGCAAAACGGAGAAGCUGGUGUACACGUGCAUCAAGGACGCCGGUCUGCCGGACGACAAGAACGCCACGAUGACCAAGGAGCAGUUCACCUUCGACAAGUUCUACGCCCUGUACCACAAGGUCUGUCCCCGCAACGACAUCGAGGAGCUCUUCACCUCCAUUACCAAGGGCAAGCAGGACUUCAUCAGUCUGGAGCAAUUUAUACAGUUCAUGAACGACAAACAGCGUGAUCCUCGGAUGAACGAGAUCCUGUAUCCUCUCUAUGAGGAGAAACGCUGCACGGAGAUCAUCAACGACUACGAACUGGAGGAGGAAAAGAAGAAGAAUAAUCAAAUGUCGCUGGAUGGAUUCAAGCGCUACCUGAUGUCCGACGAGAAUGCACCGGUGUUUUUGGACCGACUGGACUUCUACAUGGAGAUGGAUCAGCCCCUGGCCCAUUACUAUAUAAACAGCUCGCAUAAUACCUAUCUAUCGGGUCGACAGAUCGGCGGCAAGAGUUCCGUCGAGAUGUACCGCCAGACUCUUUUGGCGGGCUGUCGGUGUGUGGAGCUGGACUGCUGGAACGGAAAGGGGGAGGAUGAGGAGCCGAUCGUCACCCACGGCCACGCCUACUGCACGGAAAUCCUCUUCAAGGACUGCAUCCAGGCGAUUGCGGACUGCGCUUUUGUGUCGUCCGAGUAUCCGGUGAUCCUGUCCUUCGAGAACCACUGCAACCGCGCCCAGCAAUACAAGUUGGCCAAAUACUGUGAUGACUUCUUCGGCGACCUGUUGCUGAAGGAGCCGCUGUCAGAUCACCCGCUGGAUCCGGGACUACCGCUGCCGCCGCCCUGCAAGCUGAAGAAGAAGAUCCUCAUCAAGAACAAGCGAAUGAAGCCGGAGGUGGAGAAGGUCGAGCUGGAGCUGUGGCUCAAGGGCGAGCUGAAGACGGACGACGAUCCGGAGGAGGACGCCAGUGCGGGCAAGCCGCCGGAGGCAGCCGCCGCCCCCGCUCCUGCCCCGGAAGCAGCCGCCGCCGCCGAGGGCGCCGCCGAGGGGGGCGGAGAGGCCGAGGCCGCCGCGGCCAACUACAGUGGCUCCACCACCAACGUGCACCCGUGGCUCUCAUCCAUGGUCAAUUAUGCGCAGCCCAUCAAGUUCCAGGGCUUCGACAAGGCAAUCGAGAAGAACAUUGCCCACAACAUGUCCUCGUUUGCGGAAUCGGCGGGCAUGAACUACCUGAAGCAGAGCUCCAUCGACUUUGUCAAUUACAACAAGCGCCAGAUGUCGCGAAUCUAUCCGAAGGGCACACGGGCGGACUCCUCGAACUACAUGCCGCAGGUGUUCUGGAACGCCGGCUGCCAGAUGGUCUCGCUCAACUUCCAGAGCUCCGACCUGCCCAUGCAGCUCAACCAGGGCAAGUUCGAGUACAACGGCGGCUGUGGCUAUCUGCUGAAGCCCGACUUCAUGCGGCGAGCCGAUAAGGACUUCGAUCCGUUCGCCGAUGCGCCGGUGGACGGUGUGAUUGCGGCCCAGUGCUCCGUGAAGGUGAUAGCCGGCCAGUUCUUGUCCGACAAGAAGGUGGGCACCUACGUGGAGGUGGACAUGUUCGGCCUGCCCUCGGACACGGUGAAGAAGGAGUUCCGCACCCGGCUGGUGGCCAACAAUGGACUCAAUCCGGUCUACAACGAGGACCCCUUCGUGUUCCGCAAGGUGGUGCUGCCCGACUUGGCGGUGCUGAGGUUCGGCGUCUAUGAGGAGAGCGGCAAGAUCCUGGGACAGCGAAUCCUGCCGCUGGACGGCCUGCAGGCUGGCUAUCGCCAUGUGUCCCUGCGCACGGAGGCCAACUUCCCCAUGUCGCUGCCCAUGUUGUUUGUGAAUAUCGAGCUGAAGAUCUACGUACCUGAUGGCUUUGAGGACUUCAUGGCCAUGCUGUCGGAUCCGCGAGGAUUUGCCGGCGCCGCCAAGCAGCAGAACGAACAGAUGAAGGCCCUGGGCAUCGAGGAGCAGAGCGGCGGUGCCGCCCGCGAUGCCGGCAAGGCCAAGGAGGAGGAGAAGAAGGAGCCGCCGCUGGUCUUUGAGCCCGUCACGCUGGAGUCGUUGCGCCAGGAGAAGGGCUUCCAGAAGGUGGGCAAGAAGCAGAUCAAGGAACUGGAUACGCUGCGUAAGAAGCACGCCAAGGAGCGCACCUCGGUGCAGAAGACCCAGAAUGCGGCCAUCGACAAGCUGAUCAAGGGCAAGAGCAAAGACGACAUUCGCAACGAUGCCACCAUCAAGAACUCGAUCAAUGACCAGACCAAACAGUGGACCGACAUGAUCGCCCGCCACCGCAAGGAGGAGUGGGACAUGCUGCGCCAGCACGUCCAGGACUCGCAGGACGCCAUGAAGGCGCUGAUGCUCACCGUUCAGGCGGCGCAGAUCAAGCAGCUGGAGGAUCGCCAUGCCAGGGACAUCAAGGAUCUAAAUGCCAAGCAGGCUAAGAUGUCGGCGGACACCGCCAAGGAGGUGCAGAACGACAAGACCCUGAAGACUAAGAACGAGAAGGAUCGUCGGCUUCGCGAGAAGCGUCAGAACAACGUGAAGCGCUUCAUGGAGGAGAAGAAGCAAAUCGGCGUUAAACAGGGCCGCGCCAUGGAGAAGCUGAAGCUGGCGCACUCGAAACAGGUCGAGGAAUUCAGUACCGACGUGCAAAAGGUACUGAGCGAAACUCGGCCCCAGACCGACACUAUAACCAGUAUUGAGACUGUACUUUAGACAACCACACCCGUAUAGCUAGAGAGCGAUAAACCGUAAACGAUAAACGAUAUAACCGAUAACUGAAACGCAAAAUGAAACAUGAACAAAGCUGAAAAAAAGAACUUAACCGAAAGCAAAGCGAAGAUAUGCAUCCCAGAUACGAUCGUAGUGGCUGUAACCCCUUAUCAAAUCUUAUCAAUCGAUAGAGUGUGUGUGAGAGAGAGACAGAGAUAGAUAGAGAGUGUCGUGGGGAUGCAUCUUCCGAUAACCGAUAAACAAUAACCGAUCACGAACAAAAACCCAACCUAACCGUACCCAUCCGUACUAACCUGAAAAGUAAUCGAUCAGUCAGUAGCUGCUAAUCUUUCACACUAACUGCUAAGAUCUAAUGGACAUGUACAAAAUCGAGGAGGAGGCCUAUAAGACGCAAGGAAAAACGGAGUUUUAUGCCUAAGACCCACAGGUCGAAGGUCAAAAGAGGAAGAGCACCGCGAUACCAAAAAAUAAUACUAAAAAAAACUAGAGAAAUCCAUGAAAGAAUGCUGAUCAAGACGAAGAUGCUAACAUAUAUACUUCUUUAUAUACUGUAUUUACACACUCAUCACUCCAAAACACAAACACACAUACACUCGCCCGCAUCUAUAAGGGAUUAACUUUACUUAAAAACAUUUACGUAUAUGUUUUAUGCAGGAAGCAUAAGCUUA